GAGAGACUGAGGAGAAGAAAAGAGAGAUACUUUAUGAAAAAAAAAAAAUAGAGAGAGAUGAAUGAAGGUUCUGAGAGUGAAAAUGGUGAAAAGAAGAGAUGGGAAAUGUMUCCUUGAAGUGAAAGAGAGGGAAAGAUGAGCUGAAGUUCAGAAAAGGGAAAAACUCUAUUCACAGAUCCUACUCCCUAGUAUGCGCGUCAAGCCCUGGAGAAGAGUUCUCCAGAUUGGCGGUUGAGUAGGACGAGGAACCCUUGUCUCCUCCAUUUCUCUAUUUGCAGAACAUCUCACUAUUGGUGGUUGGUCUUCACCAUCCUCUUGCUCAAAGUCAAGUCGGAACGCCUUACCUGAGAAAAAUCUCCCAAAACAUUGACCCCCAAAGCUAUCUCGCAACAUUAUUAAUCUGAUCCACAGGCCACAAGAGUUCGAAUAUGAGAACUUGUGCAUUCUCCAACAUCUGAGAGGCACAUGCUUCUUCUUCCUUUUGACCAGCCAGCCGAGUCUGAAGAUGGGGUUCUGAUAGCAAAGGAGCAAUCCCUCGUCCUUUUGUUCAAGCCCUUGCCUCUACAAGGGGGUUGGUCUGCAAGCAAAGGCUGUGGAGAGUGAUGGAGCCCAACUGGACAUGGAAGUUCCAGUAGUUCCCUCUGAGCAGUCAACGAGAGUUCCAACUAACUCCUGAUAGGAUAGAUUUGCAGGUGGAUUGCGAAGAGGCACAGUCCAGCAAAGGUGUUGUGGGGGUUGGUGAGCCGGGUCAAAGGUAACCUUCUUUGAGUAUCCCCCCGGGGUGCUAGACACACCUUUCUUCAAGCGUUUGGCUAAGGAGCUAAGGUCACUGCAGCCCCUAGUCCCAGUUAUGAAGUUGUUGAGGACGUUGAGGGUGACAACAACGUCCCUGAUGCUAUUGUGCAGGGGGUGCAUCAAGCUGAUCAACCGGCUGUGGAAUCGGCAACACGUUGUACAAAAUCUCCUACUUCCAUCACUACUGAUGUUGAAGCCCCUGUGAUUGCAAAGCGUAAAGCUCCGAUUGAGCUAGAAUCUGCCAUCGUAAUGGGUGGUUCCCCUGGAGACAUGCAUGACCAGUCUGGAGAAACUAACGUGAGGCUUGAGGUUGAUCCAACUGUUGAGCCUAAGGACCCCAUUGUCGCAGAGCUUGGGAUUGUCUUCCCCCCCAAGGAGCUUACUUGUAAAGAGGAAUUGGUUCAGAUAUAGUGGGAGCUCCUUGAAUAAUGCAAUAAUCAUGACAUCCCGACUCUUCACUUCCCGGUUAUAAACUCAGUUGUGGUUCAGGGUGAUUGCAAGGGUGUUCACUACAAUAUUUCCAAUAUAGUGGCAAAGUUUGUGUCAACUGCUAUACGCGUUGGGUGGCUGCCAAAGGGGAUACUGCAUCCUGAGGUCUUAAGCCCUGCGUUAAACACCAUUGCCAUGCUGAUGAACCAGGUGAUGACCCAUCCGGCGGAGGAGAUAUCAUGGUCUGACUUCGCUUCCUGGCUAGAGGCUUGCUGAGGUUUUACAUCAAUGGGUUUCUUCAGGACAUAGAUUGAAGAGCAUGUUGUCACAUUAAACCAUGCCUUCUGGAAGGCUGGUUGGGACAUACCGCAAUCUGAUUUGUUUCGUUCAAUGAAGGACACUCAUCAAUGUUGGAAGGUAGUCAAAGCGAGCAUUAUUAGAGUCGCGGAUAAGCUUAAGAACCUUGAGGAUGAGUGGACGCAGUAGAAGCAAAUCUUAGUAGAUUGUGAGGUGGAGUUGGAUAAUCUAAAGAAAUUUGAAGAGACUAACCAUGUAUUAGAGAGUAUAUCUGCAAUACGCGAAGAGUGGGCCAAGUGACCAUUGAUUGUGCUGAAUUGUAAUGGGCUAUUCUGGGGUCUUCUACGAUGUAAUGUGCAUGUGUGG